rnacentral:rRNA from 1 species
UACGUAGGGACCAAGCGUUGUCCGGAAUCAUUGGGCGUAAAGAGCGUGUAGGCGGCCAACUAAGUCCUGCGUGAAAUCUCGGGGCUCAACCCCGAGCGGUCGUGGGAAACUGGUUGGCUUGAGUUUGGGAGAGGGACGCGGAAUUCCAGGUGUAGCGGUGAAAUGCGUAGAUAUCUGGAGGAACACCGGUGGCGAAGGCGGCGUCCUGGACCAACACUGACACUGAGGAGCGAAAGCCAGGGGAGCAAACGGG